AACGUAGGACGCAAGCGUUAUCCGGAGUUACUGGGCGUAAAGCGCGGGCAGGCGGCUCGAUGCGUCUGAUGUGAAAUCUCCUCGCUCAACGGGGAGAGGCCAUUGGAAACGGUCGAGCUGGAGGGCAGUAGAGGUAGGCGGAAUUCCGGGUGGAGUGGUGAAAUGCGUAGAGAUCCGGAGGAACACCAGAGGCGAAGGCGGCCUACUGGGCUGCACCUGACGCUGAGCCGCGAAAGCCAGGGGAGCGAACGGG
rnacentral:rRNA from 1 species